rnacentral:misc_RNA from 1 species
UUGUGCAGCGAUGAUCGCUCUUUCAUUCCUUUUCAUUCUUCGCUCCAAGAGCAGUAUGCCUUGGACCAAAUUGGUUUCCUGUGUUGUAUACCUGCGUUGAUGGAAUUCUAUUGUCAAAUCGCCCCUAAUUCACCUUGUGCUGCUCGUGCGGUGCGGGAUGAACUGUGAAGUGCCUCUUCGUUGUCCGUUAUUGUCUCGCGUUUGCGCGUCGCAUUAAAUGGCCAACGUUGCGGCGCUCGAAUUCUCGGAUACAGAACCUUAAGCGGGCAAAGGGUUUUUGACCUUGAUUUGSCCAAACUAAGCGUUCUCGCUUCUUACGAACGACUGUCGCGCCCGUUUUGACCUGGGGAUACAUUUGUACCGACUGGCUCAUGCGUGCCGACGUCGAAG